GGCGGCAGGCUUAACACAUGCAAGUCGAGCGGUAGCAGAUCUAGCUUGCUAGAUGCUGACGAGCGGCGGACGGGUGAGUAACGCGUAGGAACCUGCCCAGUAGUGGGGGAUAGCCCGGGGAAACUCGGAUUAAUACCGCAUACGCUCUACGGAGGAAAGAGGGGCUUCGGGCUCUCGCUAUUGGAUGGGCCUGCGUGAGAUUAGCUAGUUGGUGAGGUAAUGGCUCACCAAGGCGACGAUCUCUAGCUGGUCUGAGAGGAUGAUCAGCCACACUGGGACUGAGACACGGCCCAGACUCCUACGGGAGGCAGCAGUGGGGAUUAUUGCACAAUGGGCGCAAGCCUGAUGCAGCCAUGCCGCGUGUGUGAAGAAGGCUUUCGGGUUGUAAAGCACUUUCAGUGGGGAGGAAGGCCUCGUAGUUAAUAGCUGCGAGGAUUGACGUUACCCACAGAAGAAGCACCGGCUAACUCCGUG
rnacentral:rRNA from 1 species